UGGCUCAGAGUGAACGCUGGCGGCGUGCCUAACACAUGCAAGUUGAACGUGAAAGCUCCUUCGGGAGUAAGUAGAGUAGCAGACGGGUGAGUAAUGCAUAGGUAAUCUUCCUUCGAGUGAGGGACAACUCGCCGAAAGGCGGGCCAAUCCCGCAUGAUGUCAUUUUGUAUAAGCAGAAUGACCAAAGGGGGGGCUUCUUCGGAACCUCUCGCUUGAGGAUGAGCUUAUGUCCUAUUAGCUUGUUGGUGGGGUAACGGCCUACCAAGGCCACGAUGGAUAGCUGGUCUGAGAGGAUGAUCAGCCACACUGGAACUGAGACACGGUCCAGACUCCUACGGGAGGCAGCAGUGGGGAAUUUUGCGCAAUGGGGGCAACCCUGACGCAGCAACGCCGCGUGAAGGAUGAAGGCCUUUGGGUCGUAAACUUCUGUCAGUGGGGAAGAAAUGCCAGCAAUGGUGAUGACGGUACCCGCAAAGGAAGCACCGGCUAACUCCGUGCCAGCAGCCGCGGUAAUACGGAGGGUGCAAGCGUUGUUCGGAAUUAUUGGGCGUAAAGAGCAUGUAGGCGGACUGUUAAGUCUGAUGUGAAAGCCCGGGGCUCAACCCCGGAAGUGCAUUGGAUACUGGCAGUCUUGAGUAUGGNAGAGGAAAGUGGAAUUCCGAGUGUAGGAGUGAAAUCCGUAGACAUUCGGAGGAACACCAGUGGCGAAGGCGGCUUUCUGGACUAA
rnacentral:rRNA from 1 species